GGACUCUGCCCGUGCCUGAGAGUGGAAAGGGAAGGAGGGAGAAAAGGAUUUUAAUUUCAACAGUCUCGAGGAAGCAAGUUAUCCUGGUUUACAGGCAUCCUACAUUUCACCUGUAGAGUCUUCUCUGGUGGAAACUGGAGCACCAGGAGGAAACCCACAUGGUCACAGAGAAUG